UACGGAGGAUGCAAGCGUUAUCCGGAAUUAUUGGGCGUAAAGCGUCCGCAGGUGGCAAUGUAAGUCUGCUGUCAAAGCGUCUGGCUCAACCAGAUAAAGGCAGUGGAAACUACAUAGCUAGAGUGAGGUAGGGGUAGAGGGAAUUCCUGGUGUAGCGGUGAAAUGCGUAGAGAUCAGGAAGAACACCGGUGGCGAAAGCGCUCUGCUGGACCUAAACUGACACAGAGGGACGAAAGCUAGGGGAGCGAAUGGG
rnacentral:rRNA from 1 species